GGAAGGCAGCAGGCUCGCAAAUUACCCACUCCCGGCUCGGGGAGGUAGUGACGAAAAAUAACGAUGCGGGACUCGUCGAGACCCCGUCAUCGGAAUGAGUACGAUCUAAGCAACCUAACGAGGACCUACCGGAGGGCAAGUCUAAUGCCAGCCGCUGCGGUAAUUUUAGCUCCGGUAGCGUAUGCUAAAAUUGCUGCAGUUAAAAUGUUCGUCGUCGGACCUCGGCCGCGGACGUGGGGUGGAAAGCCACCUCCGCGUUUCGCGUGCAUGUGGCCCGCCACCCCGAGGCGAGGUUUUAAUCGGUCACGCCCGGGUGGAUGGGGGUAAUCGCCCUGCCCAAAACAUGGUGCUCAAAGCAGGCCGGAAGUAUGCUGAGAUAGUAAUGCACGGAACGAUGGAAGACGCCUUCGGGUCCCGGUUCGAUGCAAGGGGUCGCGGGAACCCGAGGGAAUGAUCGAUAGGAGUAGACGGGGGCAAUCGUAUUCCGACGCUAGAGGUGAAAUUCUUGGACCGUCGGAAGACGAGCUACUGCGAAAGCAUUUGCCAAGUAUGCUUCCAUUGACCAAGGACGAAAGUAAGAGGCUCAAAGGAGAUUAGAUACCUUCGUAGUUCUGACCGCAAACGAUACCCGCCGGCGAUCCGGCUGCGUACGGUUGUGACGCGCUGGGCAGCCUGCCUGGGAAACCAGAGUUCAGCUCC
rnacentral:rRNA from 2 species